rnacentral:rRNA from 1 species
AUGGCUCCGGUUAUUGAUAAAAGGGCGGAGUUAGACACUGCUGUUGCUGGUUUCAGUGCUUCUCUCGCUCAAGUUGUGUCCAUCACACCUAGCGGGACACCUGGAGCACCAGAAUACAGAUACAGGGUGGGCUUUGUUGUCUUUGCACCAGCAGGGAGAGGGGAGGUUUUUGUCUGUGUCUCGAAAAAAUUGCUCGUUUCUACAAAACUUAAAAAGAAGGCUUCUUUUGGUGUACGAUUCUAUAAUCAUGGACACAAGGGUCCUGCUACUUUCCAUUCAAACCAUUUGGAUUACCUUAUUUUAAAGGUAUCAGUCCAAGAGCACGUUCCUGCGGUUGCAUUUGGUGAUGUUGUUAGAAACUCUGAGCUUAUCCUAAUAUGCAAAGACAAAGCCGACGAGUGGAAUACUUACAGUACAACAGUAAUUAUCCCACAGAAUGAUGCUUGUGCAUUCGGUGGGGGUAGGCCACCUUCUGUUGCUCUUAGUGAAGACUUUUUCACCAUGGGCUUCCCUGUUCUCCCUGCCCUUGGUUUCGACAAAAUCGAUGGUGCUCCAGUAUUUGAUAUGCAUGGACUUUUUGUGGGAUUAGUACACUCCUUUGCCACAGUGAGUAGGGACAACACACUAAACGAUGUGGUGUUUGUACGCCGUGCCGUAAGAUUUGGUGUGCCGGAAUGUAUGAGGGUAUGA